ensembl:lncRNA
GACCUGCUGCUGCUGCUUCAUCUUCAAGACCCGCAAGCGCUGCGGAGAGGGACCGACUGGCACGCAGUGACCGGGCGGGGCGGGGCUUACGCCGAGCUCCAGGCAUCUCGGGACUGGGGACCCGGGACACUCCGCCCCCAUCUGCCUGGACAACCUCCUACGAGGUGCUGGCUCCGGGCCCCCCACCGUGUCCCGGGGCCCGUGGACUGGACGCCCAGGACGGCUGGAGGCUGUGGGAGUUUUACCGGACGUUUUAGCCGUAUGAGAAAACUGGCCCAGAAAGGCUGGGUGACUCCUCUGAGGCUAAACAGCCCUACCAACCACCCGGGCAGAUGGCUUCGUUCUCUGCUGCCAAGCUCCUUCUCCAGGGUGUUUGGUCUGGGCAGCUGUUUUCAGGACCGCAGUGAUUAUGGGCUGGCGGGGUCUCCUUCACCUGCUCCACUGGCAUGGCUGUGACAGCCUUCCGCAGCCCACUUCCAGACUCAGGGGAUGCAAGUCAGUGCACUCCAGGAUUCUGAGUCAUCUCUGUCUGUGAAUCAACCUUCAUCCAUCCAUCCAUCCUGAACAGAGAUCUCAUUGUCCUCCAGUCUCUGAAUGGGAACCCGGUGUUUCUCCUUUGAAAAUAUCAGUGUGUUAGUUGCUCAGCCAUGUCUGACUCUUUGGGACCCCAUGGACUGUAGCCCACCAGGCUCCUCUGUCCAUGGGAUUCUCCAGGCAAGAAUAUUGGAGUAGGUAGCCAUGCCCUUCUCCAGGGGAUCUUUCCAACCCAGGGACUGAACCCGGGUUGCCUGCAUUACAAGCAGAUUCUUUACUGUCUGAGCCACCAGGCAGGUCUGGACUUUGCUUACUGAGAGUCCUCCAGCUCUAAGUACAUCAGGCUCUCCUCCCGAUUUCAGACUGGGGACAGCACAGUAGAGGUGGACCCAAGCAUCUGCUCUAAGAUCCUGGAGGAAGCACUGAACGCCUACCUUGGGGGCUUCAGAGGCUUCCCAGCCCACAACCCCUCCCAUGAGAACUUCACCUGCCUCCCCAGGGCCGACCGGCAGAGCCACCUGCAGCUGCAACUGGCUUGCUGGACAUAUGCCCCAGGCAGCUGGGAGCGUGCCAGCGAUCAUCUGAAUCCCAGGAGCAGAGGACAGUUACCAUGGCUACCAAAGCUGUAACCAUUGGCUGCUUUGGCUGUGGGGACCGGCUCAGCUGCCCUCUCAAGGUCCCUUCCAGCCCUGGGACUCUACAGCUCCAAUGAGCCCGUGGAGACCACGUCUGCAGCAAGAAAACAGGAAGUCCUGUGACACACAAGGCUCAGACACCUCAGAGGUCACUUGUCUUAUUCAUCAGAAGUGCUGAGUCACAGGCUACUUUCUACCUCUGCUGCAUUAUUGAUAAGCAAAGCCUCGCUUUUGGUUUUUGGUAUAGUACUUCAGGCCUUUUAUAAUGUGAGCUCGCUUCCACCAUGUUUCCUUUUUUUCUUCCUUUUACAG